rnacentral:sRNA from 1 species
GAGUUCAAAAGUUAGUACUAAGUGCCCAC